rnacentral:lncRNA from 1 species
GGAAGUGGCACCUCCUGUGAAUGCUUCUGCAAGUGCCAGGGACACAGCCCUCCCCGCUGCACCAGCUGGAGCCUCAGUGCCUCACAAAUAGACAGAGAAAACGGAGAUUGCUUUCAGAAAAGAAAUGGAGAACACAGGCAAACGUGAUUCCUUUCAGUUGGAUUUCCUGACUUUAAAAGCACUUCUCACUCUCCUGCCAGUUCAGUUGCUUAGGAAUUCGGUUGCCUUUGGAACAAGGCAUGGCUCCCCCAGCUGCUCCUGGCAGGACAGAAUGUUGGACCCACAUUUUCAUCUUUGCGUAGUGGAGGGAUUGGUGAUGGUUAAAGAUGUUCCAGGGUAGAUGAUGCCAAAGCCCAGAGCAGGGCAUCCCAGCAGCCCUCAUGGGAAAAGGGACAACUGAUGUGGCCAGGGCGGGUCACAGGAGCACUGCUUCAGGGCCAACUCCACAGCACAGGGCCACUUCAGCACAGGGGCAUCCGCCACACUGGGGAACAGGAACAGGAACCUACCCCAUCCCAGCGAGGGAAGAACCUCUGCUGUGUGCAGCAGCCCCACACCCCCACUGCUGGCAGCACUGCUGCUGGCUGCGUGCCACCCCGGGACCCACAAAGGGGAAGUGGCUUCUGUGAGGGUCCCUUCAAACAAGGGCGCUCUUGUCUGAGAGAAGGGAAAAAAACAAAACGGGUUCUGAUAACGCAGAGAGCGACCUGCAGGAAAGCAGACCUGCUGACAGAGAUUUUUGCUUCCGGACACCUUGGCCGGGAAGCUGUGGCGAUUGCUUUGCCUUCUUCCCUGACUCCUGCAGGUCCUGCUCACCUCUGGCACGGCCACACCAGCAAUAGGACUGCUGGUGUGAGGUGGGGUGGGAUGAUAGCACUGUGCCCAGAGUGGCAUCUGCUGUCCCACUGUGCUCAGCAUGAAGCUUUUGCACUACUGCAUCCCUGCCUGCAUCCCUGUUGCUUCCCUACUGCAUCCCUGCCUGUAUCCCUACUGCAUCAUUGAUGCUUCCCCACUGCAUCCUUAGUGCAUCCCUGUUCCAUCUCUGCUGCUCCCCUACUGUAUCCCUGUUGCUUCCUACUGCAUCCUUGCUGCUUCCCUACUGCAUCCCUGCCUGCAUCCCUGUUGCUUCCCUACUGCAUCCCUGCCUGCAUCACUGCUGCUUCCCUUCUGCAUCCCUGCCACAUCCCUACCUGUAUCCCUACUGCAUCAUUGAUGCUUCCCUACUGCAUCCCCACUGCAUCCUUACUGCAUCCCUGUUCCAUCUCUGCUGCUCCCCUACUGUAUCCCUGCUGCUUCCUACUGCAUCUCUGCUGCUUCCCUACUGCAUCCCUACCUGUAUCCCCGCCUGCAUCCCGCUCCCUCCAUCCCCUCCCUCUCACGUUCCCCCCCGCACAAAGCCCUCUCCCGCAGCCCCGGCUCGGCCCCCCCACCCUCGGGGCCGCACUUUGGGUACCCGCACCCCCUCCGUCGCCCCCCGGAGCCGC